UAUAGCGAAUUUAUAUUUUAUUAGUUUUUUAUGCUACUAGUGACUCGAAGGGAGUAUCCCUGCUUUACUCAAGGGGAUUAUUGUUCGGUAUCAAGAUGAGAAUAAAAAAAGCGCCCUCAGGCGCUUUUUUGAACCG
rfam:Yokenella regensburgei ATCC 43003 genomic scaffold Scfld157, whole genome shotgun sequence.